rnacentral:rRNA from 1 species
ACAGCAGUCGCCGCGGUAAUACGAAGGGGGCUAGCGUUGUUCGGAAUUACUGGGCGUAAAGCGCACGUAGGCGGACAUUUAAGUCAGGGGUGAAAUCCCGGGGCUCAACCCCGGAACUGCCUUUGAUACUGGGUGUCUAGAGUAUGGAAGAGGUGAGUGGAAUUCCGAGUGUAGAGGUGAAAUUCGUAGAUAUUCGGAGGAACACCAGUGGCGAAGGCGGCUCACUGGUCCAUUACUGACGCUGAGGUGCGAAAGCGUGGGGAGCAAACAGGAUUAGAUACCCCGGUAGUCCCUGUCUCUUAUAA